AAGUAGGGAUGUCAAUAAGCCGAACACGAGCGAGCUAGAACCGGCUCGUAGUCGGCUCGUUUCAUAAACGAGUCGAACACGAGUUAGCUCGUUAAAGUAUCGAGCUGAAAAAUUCAGCUCAUGUUCGAUUCGUUUAUUAAAAAGCCGAACACGAGCUGGGCUCACAAACAAAAAGCUAAAAAAAUAGAUAAUAUGUAUAGAAAAUAAAUUUAUGAGAUCUUAUGUUCUAAUGUUUGAAAUUUUACAUAUAAAUGAGCUUUUUCAUAAUUAUUUUAGGUUUUAUAUUUAGAUUGGACUAAAAUCAAAUAAUAAAAAUCUGUAUUAUAUAUAUAAUUAUUUAUUUAUAUAUAUAAAUUUACGAGAUGUUAUCUAGUUGAACAUGUAUUCGGCUCGUUUGUUAAACGAGCUGAAAAAUUCAGCUCAUGUUCGGCUUGUUUACUAAAUGGGCAAUUCGAUCUCAAACUAAUUUCGCGCCGAAGACGAGUUGGCUCUCGAAUAACUCCUAUACGAAAGAAGUAGGGGUAG
rnacentral:lncRNA from 1 species